rnacentral:lncRNA from 1 species
AAAUAAAAUAAAAUCUUCCCUUGGACAAAAAUUAAGUAUUCCCUCCAAUUAGAAACCAAUACAACUUCUGCCAAAAAAAGGAAAAAUAUAACUAAACCUAUUCCCUUUCGACAGUCUUUGGCCUGCAAAAUCACUCUGAUUAAUAGUCUCUAGUUAACAAAAUCGUUGCUGCCACAUCCCCGACGAUCUUCUUCUCAAAUCUCAGGUAAAUUUCUCUUCUUCCCUAGGUAAAGUUUUCAAAAUCUGUUAUCAAUCUUCUCCCUCUCAUCUGGUUUCCCCAAAUCUGCAAUUUUUUUUGAAAUCUUCCUCAAAUAAAUUAAGAAUGAGAGUUCUGAUUUAUGGAGCAUGAAUUUACAGCAAUUUAAUGUAUGAAGAAUUCCGUCAUGACUGCUAAUAACAUAAGUUACACAUGUAUCAAUACAUAAGUUACAUAUGUCAAUGGAUUACAACUGGAAGGCAGUAUCUAGUCUUUGAACUUUAGGGGCAUAUGACGCUUAAUGCUGAGUUGAAUUAGUCAUACUUUUGAAUUUUUUAUCUUGUUGUGAUGCCAUAUUAAUUCACUACUUCCAGUAUUAUGGCAAAUAGGUUGAUAUAGUUCUGAACUUUCUCCUAAAAUCUGUUUCUUUCAUGGUAAAUGGAUUCAAGUUAUAUGUUAUUUUUCUUGUAAUAAAUGCAAAGAAGAAAAUAUUACAACACUAUAGACUUGGACAACUUAAAGAAGAAAAGAGAAUACCCCUAACUUAUUUUUUCUGUUUUCAUGUUUUCUUCCACAUAUAUAUAUAUAUAUAUAUAGAUCUUCUCCAAAUCUGCUCAAUCAUCCUUGUCAAUCUUCUCCCUCUUAUGUGUCUUCAACUUCUCUUUUCGUGUAGCUUUUAAGAUUGCUGCAGAAAUUAUUGUUCUCCUUCACUUUCUUGUCUUUAUCGGCAAAAAUUUCUGCUUACCAGGUACCAAUUUAUGAUUCUUGAUAUCCAACUAUGACAUUUUGGAAAUUGUGAAAGUUUAGCUUUUUUUGUGUUUGCUAAAUCGUUUGUGAUUCCUGAUUGCUGUUAGAUUGCUAGUUGAUUGAUUGAAUUGAUUUCUCCUCUAUUCCUCUAUUUUUAUGAACUAUGGAAUUUGUCGCUCACGCGGCUAUUAAUUACAGCAAUGUAUAUUCAGAAUUAAAUUUAGUUGAGAUAGAAUAGAUAAUUUUUAAGUAUACAUGCAUAAGCCAGUUUGAGUAUCUCUGUUAGGUAUACAAUGGUACUCUAAAAAAAGAACAAACAGAGCAAAAAAUACUAUCUAAGCGUAUUCUCUAUCACUGUUGUUAGAGUAUCUGAAACUUCAAUAAUGGUUGAAACUUCAUCCAGUAGGUUUUUGUACCACAAUGUAUAGUUGCAAAUCUGUUCCAUAUGCAGUAUGUAACAAUGUAGUUCCUGAGUUACUAGUUGCAGCUCUUCUCAUUGCUAAAUAAAAUAGUUUAGUAAUCUAAUAACAAUGAUGAGAUAUCUUGAGUUUGCAGUUAUCUGUUACUUUUAGUGUAAACAGGAUCUUACGCAUAGAGCAACAAUCUGGAUAACGCAAAGGUUUUCCCUGUUCUUAUCAACUUAUUACGCUGCAAGAUGCAAUUAGUUGAAGUGAGCUAUAUGAUUUUCUCUGCAUUCAGUCAGUUCUGUUCAAGUCAGACAUCAUCACACUAAAACUAUCUUCAGUAGGAAAGAAGUUUUUAACGCGUAAAGGUUGUUAAAAUAAAAUUAGUUGUAGCUUUUAGUUUCCUUUAACUUAGCACCACACUGAUCUAAGUUGGGUAAUAGCUGGAUGUUACCCUUGUAGCACAUGUUUGGUUACUUAGUUUUAGUUUUUAUUUUUGUACUUGUAGCUUGCAGAGUUAUAAAGUUAGCAAAGCUUACAUGAUGUAAGGUCAUUCCUAUAGUGAUCACCAAACAAAGAAGCUGAUCCUAGUAUUGGAUUGACUAGGUAUAAAUAGUUAAGCUUCCAAAAAAUAAGGGAUCACAACUCCCUUUUUCUUUGUCCCUUGGCCUGUUAGCCCUCCAUGAAUUCUCUGGUUUUAGUAAGUAGGUAUAAAUAGUGAAGCAUUUUGUAUAAAUACUUGUGUGUUUGUUGGUUUCUAUUGAUUUUGUGAUGUAUCUACGUAAUCCGUCAAUGGUACUGAUAAACUUGCUACUUGCGCAUAUUUUUGUUUAACACUGUUGUCAGUGGUUAGCAGCUAAACAAUGUCUAAUGCUUACUCACACUUCACUCAAGCACCUAAGUUGAAAGAGUCUGUAAAGCUGCCAUUAGAUGUACACUUUGUACAGUUAUAGUAAACGUCUUAUCUCAUUUGCAGUGACUACGGAUUUGGAUCUGAAAACAUGAGUCCUUGUGGCUUUGGGAGGUUUUAGCUACUUUGGAGGCAUUAACACUGCUCUUUUGGUGUUGAUGGAACUCGCCGAAAUAAAUAAUUAUCAACUUUUCCAAAUAUCGCUUAGCUAAUUAUACUCGCUAGUCACACAAAAUCUAUUACGGUAUUCCUUUAAAUAAAAUAGUGGUUGAGUCAAACAUUGGUCACAAAUGAAUAAUUUUUUCUGGUCAAACCAUUCUAAAUAAUACUAAAUUCUUUAAACAGUUGGGUUAAUGUAUACCUUCAUCUUUGUCAUAAUAAACAAAAUGGCCUGAUUUGAAGGCCUUGGACAAGAGGGGUUGCUCUGAUGGUAAGCAACCCCCACUUUCAACCGAGAGGUUGUGAGUUCGAGUCUCCCCAAGAGCAAGGUGGGAAGUUCUUGGGAGGAAGGAUGCCGAGGGUCUAUUUGGAAACAGCUUCUCUAUUCCAGGGUAGUGAUAAGGUCUGCGUACAUACUACCCUCCCCAGACCCCACUAAGUGGGAUUAUACUGGGUUGUUGUUGUGUUUCAUGACCUAACAUGAUAUUUGUAUCUUGAGAUGCUUUCAAGUGCUGCUCUAUAUCUGCAAGUUUUGGCUUUGACAACCCUUGACAAGUGUCACCAUAGCCACAAUAAGUAAGUACUACAAAAAGGUUGAAGGUACUAAUUCAAAGUAAAUUUUCAUGCACUGAGUAUGUUAUGUCCAUAAGUGAAAUUAUACUGGGUUGUUGUUCUUGUUGGCCUGAUUUGAAGGCCCUUCUUUAGUCCCAUUAGUUGAUGUCAUAAAAUGCUGUUUUGACUCUUCUUUAGCUUCCGUUUGCUCUUCAACCCUAUUAUUUGCAGCUACAACCUGCUGAAUUGAUAUUUCUUUUUGUUCUUUUCCUUCUUCAGUUUCAACCCCAUUAUUGGAAUUUGAAAACUGCUCCCUUGAUCUUUUUUGUUCAUAAUCAAGAUCAGAUAUUUCAGUCCUGUUAGCUAAAGUCACAAACUUCUAUUUUGAUUUUUCUUUAGCUUCAGUUGUUCCUUCUUCUACUCCAUUAAUUGAAGCUAAAACUUGCUGAACUGAAACUUCUUCUGGUUUUGUUUCCUCUUCAACUUCAACCCCAUAAUUAGAAUCUGAAAGUUUCUCCUUUGAACUUUCUUGUAAAUCACCAAGAUCAUAUUUUUCUGUUCCAUUAGUGAUCUUUGGGGGAAGAAUUUGAAUGCCCAUUUGUUUGAAUUUUCCUAUUGGUUACUUCGUUAGUAGCUUUAGAGCUUCUUAUUUGAAGACCCCAAUCUUGCUGUUGUUACUGUGCAUAAAUUGAGGUUUUAUCACGAUAUUAUUAACAGAUUUCAGAGCAUCGCUCAUGUGCUUAACCAUAUAAGUUCUUGCCAUUUGAUAACCUUCGAAUCUUCCAUUCUAGAUAAUUCGAAGCUAAGAAAGAUUCGUGGGCCUACUUUACUAAAAUAUAUUUGAAAACUUCCUUCGGAAAAAAUAAUUGAUGUGCCGUUUGAUAAUCGUAAUCAAGUUGUUGAGAAAAAAGGUCGAAAGCUUGCUAGCUUUCUAGGAAUUUUCGAGAACUCCAGAACUAACACCUCUACACGCAGGUGAUUAGAGAAAUUUUGAAAAGGAGGAAAAGAAGAACAUGUAAAUGCAUUUCAUAAGCUUUAGACAUUUUUAAUAAAAUUCUAAUCGUAUAAAAAUAUUAUUAUCUAAUAUGUUAAUAUUUAUUAGAUCCCUGACGUCAACCGUGGACAUGAACGAGUACCACAAACAUAAAGGAUACCUAGUGUUGCUGAAAAUGCUCAACCUUCUUACGGUACUACUUAUCUUUGAGUUUUUCUCCUUUAAUUUUUAUUAAUUUGUUGUUGUAUUUGGGCUUACAUGGAUGCUUCUUGAUUUUAUAUAUUUCCUUUUAUCACUGUUGGUUUCCGUCCUAUCAAUAUAUAUCUUUUACAUUUAGAAAUAAUCUUCUGUGUCUUCUUAAAAUUAUUACAAUUAGAAAUAGUCUUAUGUGUCUUCUCAACAAUAUUUUUAUUAAUUUCUUGCUUUUAGCUAAACAAUAUAUAUCUUUACAAUUAUAAAUAGCAUG